CAGGCGCUUAACUGACUGGCCCACCCAGGUGCCCCCAGAGUAUUGUUUAUAUGCUGGGCAGUGUGCCACAUUUUUUUCCUUUGUUUCGUUUCAUCCUUAUAACCAUCCUACGAGGUGGGAAUGCCCAGUCCACAGCUCCUGAUUAAUUGUUACCAAGUGUCAUCCGUAAAUUUCCCUUCCAUCUAAUAAUCCUCUCGGACGAUCUAACAACAUCCCCGGCGAGCUGGCGACACCGAGGCUGAGUUUCUGAGACAAGGAGCGGGUGACACCGGUACCUCCAGUGACUGGCGACGGGCGGUGGACAGCGUUCACGGAGCUGCCAUCUCUGAAAUACAAUUAUCAGUGUGAUCUGCUUAAGGAUUCAUCAUCAGCUCCUGCCUUCUGAAGACUUAAAAAAAUGCCAAGACACACAGAGAGAAAGAGGAUUGCGUCCAGGACAGCACAUUACUUCAGUUAUCAGGUCUCCUUAGGCUCCUCUUGGCUGAGCCUCUCAGGUUUCGCUGAGAUUAAUGACCUUGCCGGUUUUGAGGAAGGUGAGGACACGGCGAGAGGUCAGCAGUCUGCAAACCAGAAGAGGGCCCUCGCUGGACCACGUGGGCACCCUGAUCUUGGAUUUCCAAGCUCCAGGGCUGUGAGGACUCCUUGCUUACUGUUUACAAGCCAUCAAACUCAUGCAACCACAGCUUCUCAGGGGCAAGCAUCUCGUGCUGGGUCCUUCAGACCUCAUCCGUUCAAGCUCUCUGAACAACCAUACCGCGUAGACGUGAAACCCACAGAGACAAGAAAACAGGCCAAGGGAGGUCAGGUGUCACCGUCCAGGUGGCCCGGCCAACACGCUUCGGAAGGGGGACCUGAGACUCCGGAGGGCGUUGUCUUCUUGAGAGUGUGACACUGGCACAAGCAUCCCAUACACGAGCCUCCGGACCCGGGACGCCGACAGGGAGACACGGGAGCCGUUCUUGCCCGGAGCUGCCAAAGCAAGUGUAAAUGCCCGGGUUCCACCUGCCGGGACACCCACCACUGAGCACCGAUUCCCUCCGCCAACCUCAGCUCUUCCCAAACCGGAGCCCUCGCGGUCUCCCACACACGCCUCUGUUCCUUGCUGUCCCCUCCCUUCUCCCACCUGUUGGGCCCUUCAGGACUCGGUAGAAAUGUCUCUUCCUGGGAAGCCUUCCUGAGUUUUGCUCCCUACACAUCACACUCGGAUGCUCUCGUGGUUUUCUUUCUUUUUUUUUUUAAGGUUUUAAAAUUUUUAAUUUUAA